rnacentral:rRNA from 1 species
GGUUAAGCGACUAAGCGUACACGGUGGAUGCCCUGGCAGUCAGAGGCGAUGAAGGACGUGCUAAUCUGCGAUAAGCGUCGGUAAGGUGAUAUGAACCGUUAUAACCGGCGAUUUCCGAAUGGGGAAACCCAGUGUGUUUCGACACACUAUCAUUAACUGAAUCCAUAGGUUAAUGAGGCGAACCGGGGGAACUGAAACAUCUAAGUACCCCGAGGAAAAGAAAUCAACCGAGAUUCCCCCAGUAGCGGCGAGCGAACGGGGAGCAGCCCAGAGCCUGAAUCAGUAUGUGUGUUAGUGGAAGCGUCUGGAAAGGCGCGCGAUACAGGGUGACAGCCCCGUACACAAAAAUGCACAUAUUGUGAGCUCGAUGAGUAGGGCGGGACACGUGGUAUCCUGUCUGAAUAUGGGGGGACCAUCCUCCAAGGCUAAAUACUCCUGACUGACCGAUAGUGAACCAGUACCGUGAGG